GGUGCGACCGGAUGAUGGUUCACAACGACCGUGUCCUUCGAACGGGUCGGUGGGACUUUCGUCCGUUUGUAAC
rfam:Drosophila ananassae strain TSC#14024-0371.13 Ctg01_18803, whole genome shotgun sequence.